rnacentral:tRNA from 2 species
CGCGGGGUGGAGCAGCUCGGUAGCUCGUCGGGCUCAUAACCCGAAGGUCGCAGGUUCAAAUCCUGCCCCCGCUA